rfam:Prunus persica cultivar Lovell chromosome G1, whole genome shotgun sequence.
AGGCAGCCCCCUUGCGAUGACAAUGGCUUGGGAGGCGUUUAACUGCUCGUAAAUCGAAUUCUUUUGCUCUUCAGACUUGCUGAGAAUCUCUCUUUGAAGCUGGUCUAGUAAGCAUCAGUACACU